CACUAUCGAAGGUAGUGGGGUUUGAGGUCAAAACAUUCCCCUGAACUGGAGGCAACAGCCCUCAGAUAUACCUCUCUAUCUUCUUUCCCUCCGUGGGAACCAUGUUGGGACAGAGGGCCACCAGCUCGCUGAAUCUGGCGGUAUAAGAAACUAUGUCGGAGCCCUUCAUGGUUAGGCUCCCCAGCUCCUGUUCCAACUUCUGGAUCUCGCCCCUCGGGCAGUAUUCCUCGAUCAUGAGGUCUUUUAGAGUUUCCCAGCCCAUGUCGUUAGCCACUACAAGAGUGAGUGACUUGACAUGGCUGUUCCACCAUGUCAGGGCUUUCUCCUCAAAGGUGCAAGCGACAAACUUGACCUUACUCGCGGCAGGGCAAGAGCAAAUCUCGAAGAUCGACUCCGUCUUCUCGAACCAUUGCGAGAGGGCAAUGACUCCGCCAGUCCCCUUGAAGGGCUUCGACUUACAGUUAGUGAAGUCCUUGUAGUAUCACUCUCUCGAGCGCACAAGGAGUUCACUUUGAGUAGAGUUAACAAGGGUUCCACCUCUGCUGGCAUCAGUAGAGUGAUAUUGAGCCAUGGAUGUUGCCACAGCCACAGCCACUGCAGCAUUUAGAGUUGCGCGCAUCGAAUUACGGAGGAGGUGGUGGUGGUAUUGGAUUUGGAGUAAUCGGAGGAUUACGCCUUGUUGAUUUGUGAGGAGGCAUCCUUUAACUAUAAGUUUAAAAGAUGAACAUGAUAGUAAGAAUCAAUUGUAAGCAUAGUGAGUGUGAUCCAUGGGCUAAAUUGAUAUAGUCCAACAGUUAAAUGAGUGUCUGUUUUGAAAUAAAAACACAGUAGAAAAGUAGAGGAAACGCAAGAGUACAAAUUUUUCCAACAGAUUAGAUAACUGUCAAUAUUACUGGUAUUAUUGAUGUAACAAGUUCGGGGGGAAAAAUGACCUAACAAUAGGUCUUACAUCAUACCAUAAGGGAACAGGUUGACAGUUCUUAGAUUCCUAGUUAGAGUACUUGGAAAGUUGGAAUAUUUUACAGACAAAAGCUUCAUAAAGCAUAGUUAAGAAGGCUAUUCCUUGAGUCAAAAGAAAAGAUGUACUAAACAUCUUCUAAUGGCCAUGGGAAUUCCUCGGGCGAACCCUCAGAUCUGCCAGUUGGCGAACCACUUCUUGAAGGUGUCGCUCAUGAGCCCUCUGGCGAACUCGAAGUUCUAUGACUUCAGCUCGGGAAGCAGCCAGCUAUUGCUACAGAGUCUCAUUGGUUUUCCUGGUCCUAUCCAUAUCUUCUUCAAGACAGCGGACACGGAGCGUGUUGACACCAGAGUUGGAAUCAAUCUCCACGAUUCGGCCGAUGGCUGCUCGACCUUGCUCGAUAUUCCGAGCAAUCCUGCGGACCAUGACAGGCAAGACUCGGUCAGCUGAGCCACCCUCUUGGGGUAGGUUGUUGACUUCUGGCUCGGAGUCGGAACCAUCUGAGAAGCCUUCUGCGAGGUGAUCAUCCAAAGGGAUUGGAUGGUCAUCUUCCGGCUCAUAGUCAAGCCAUCCAGCAUUGCCUUGAUUUGGGAAGUACGGGUCGCCAGGAGGAUGGAAUCCAGCCAUGAUAUCUAUGCGAGAAAAGGGGUAUAAGAAUCUUAUACAUAUAGACAUACUGCUCAAGAUAAUUAUAAUAAAAUAUUUAUCAGUUACUUCAAUACUUGCAUAGUGCAUACCAGUUAUAUGUAUUCAAAACAUGAUAGACCUUCGAAUUAGUGACCCUAACUCUAAACCCACAACCAAACAAGGAACAGUGAGUAAAGAAAAGAUCACAGAUUCUAAGUCUAUGACAUCCUAGAUACACAUAACCUCAGCGUAUCCACUUAGCAACUAUUGACCUAAAAUAAAGACCCUUUUAGUUCUCAGACAAGUAAUUAUAAUAACACAAAAUACUCCUAUAGUAUUUUAGGUUUAUGUUUUGUUCUAAUGUUUUCAUUGUAGUAGUGUUGGUAAGUUUUUAGACUUGUUGCCAUAUCACAACCAUUCCUGGGCAUAUGCUAAUCACUUCUCGGACCAGCAUAGUUGAUCAGGCUAUGCACUCCCAAAACUGACCAUACAUCACCAAGCCUACUUGUGACAUUCAACAAUCGUAAUACUUUUGUUCUGCCCUGGUGACACUGAUUUUAGUAUGAAUGCAGGUAUGUAUACUUAGUUAAAUAUUUUAUUAUUUAAAAGUAUAAACUCUUGGUCAGAGUAUUUUAAUCCCAUUGUGUUUAUAGUUACUAUAUCUUUUAUGGGUUGAUAUACUCAAUUCACUAUAAACAAUGCUCUGAUACCAAUUUGUCACACCCCAAAACAAAGAACGGCAGAAACGUUCUGGGGCGGAGGACGUCAUGUAUAGUAUCACAACACAUAAAUAUAGUAAACAAAUAAACAACAUCAUCCAUUGCAUUAAUAAUGUAUUUUAAUACAAGUGUGUUCUGUACAGUUAUAGACACCAAAAAUAUGAAUCAAAAUAAAAGACGAGUCUUGAAAAUGCUUCAUCUUCUCAAAAGCUGGCAUCGGUACUUGUCUACUGAUGACCUGAGAAUACAAGUUAUUUUGAAAGAUUUUAUCAGCAUAAAAGCUGGUGAGUCCAUAAGUAUUUAGUGUCAUGUUUUGUAUGAAAAAUGUUUGUAGUGACUGUUUGUAUUUCCUAGAAAACCCUAUGUUUUCCAUUAAAAGUAGCCUUCUACCAAGUCAUCAAGUGAAAUGUAUGUUUUGUUCAUUGUAAAAGUAUGUAUCUUUCCCAAGCGUGACUAUUAUUAGAAAAUAUAGUUUUUACAUUACUCUUUAUGUGACGAGAUCACAAAGUAGAUGUAAAGGGAAAAUGAUGAAGUAUUGUAGUAUAAUAAUAUUAUCACGACUAUUGUAUUAAAUACCUUAAAUCAAUUGUUAAAUUAAGGUCUAAUGUGAUGUAAUUAUAACCAUACUUGAUCGACCUAGUGAAACACGAUGCUUGAAGACGUCGAGAUGUUAUGACAUUCAUCACCUGAAGACCUGCAGGUCCCACUGUAGCUAGCAACAAGGUGUAGGACGGUCAGUCUAGUAUAGAUCUGUACACGAAUUCAUGCUCUCCCUUCAGGAGACUCUGGAUACAAGACGAGCCAUGACAGAGAUGUCGUGCCCCGAAGUAGUGCCUCACAUUUAUUGCAUAGUGUGUAUAUAGUGUAUGUAAUAGUGUAGUGUAUGUCUUUCCUGAUCCUCAUCAUAGUGAGUUCUCUAGUGUACUAUAUAGUGUGUAUGAAUAGUAUGUAUUAGUGUAUGUUCUCUCUGACUCUCAUUAUAGUGUGUUCAGUUGUAUAGUGUAGUGUAUUGUUUGCAGUAUGUAUUGACUCAUGUAUGUACUGACUCGUUGUAUGUUACAUUGUACUAGAAGUAGUAAGUAGUAUAUCACCAAACUAUACCUAUUAUAGUUUACUAGUAAGAUCAUUUAUAUAGCUGAGUGUAUUGAAAUAAGACAGAAAGCUUUUAUGUCUAUACAUAUACACAUGAUAUAUAACUAAGGAUCAAACGACACUCGGACAAACAAUAGGGGACUCUAAGUCCACAACCAAACAAGGAACAAGAAAUAUAGUGUAUUAUCAGUCCUAAGUCCUUCAAACCUUACUUAUAUAACCAUAUAUGUAUUGGACAUGAUUUGAUAGUAUAUAAGUUUAAAGAGUUUUGAAAGUAAUGAAUUGGAAACUAAAACUAAGUUUUAUAAAGAGUUUAACAUGUAAAAGUAUUUGGAAAUCAUUUUGAAGUAGUUUUGUUGACAAGACAGUCUAAAGCAUAGUAAAUCCACUGGUAUGCUAGUUAUUAAUCACAUGUGAUUGAUAUAAUAAAUAAUAUAAUUGAACUUGUAUUCCCCCCCCCCUAUAAAAGCAUUUAAAAACAUAAUAAAGGUUAAUUAAGGGGUAUCAACUCACCUGUAGUGAGUGGGUUGUACGGAACUGUUGGACAAGGUGCUAGGUGUCAAGUGAAGACUUUAACACACACAAUGAUCCUAGUUAACAUAUAUGUAUCCAAUUAGUCAUUUUACAAUUAAUUAACCAAGUUAAGACGCCCUAGGACAUGGAAACACUUUGAUUCAAGUGUUAUAGGUACCAAAGGGUUGCAUCUAAAGGUUGAAUGGCAGGGCAUUGAAGUUUAUGGCCCAAGGACCACUCCUUAUGGAGUUUACGGCCCAAGGUCAUUUCCCCCAUGAGUUUACGGCCGUAAACUCAUGGUACUUAUUGUCAUUUGGUGGUUUAAGGUCUUAUAAGUCAAGAUUGAGCAUCUAUUGAUCAAGUCCAAGCCUUAGGAAGCAUUAGGGGCACAAUAUCACCACUUUGUAGAGUUUACGGACUAAGGACCAUUUCCUUAUGUGUUUACGGCCAUAAAUGCUUAUGGGGACAUGGUUUCUUCGUUGUUUAAGGUCCUACUCACUUCAAGGAAGGAUCAAGACUAGCAUCCAAGGCUUAGGAAGGGACUAGGGUUCAUUUAACCCCACUUAGAAGGGUUUACGACCCAAGAACAUCCAUUGGCGGUAAACUCCUUUGAUCUUAUGUUUCUUGGUGUUUUCAGGUGUAAACAAGUUCAUAUUAAGCACACAAGAAGCUAGGAUAAAUGUACUUACAAGAUAGAAUCUUGAUUGGGUGUUUAAGGUCCAAGAACACUAGUGUGUGUUCUUGGUGUUUUGAAGAACACUUGAAGAUCUAAGUGAAAAUCAAGAAUGAAUGGAUGAAAUGAUAUAUAACAACUAGAUGUUAGGUUAUAACAAUAAAUCAAGUCAAGAAACACUUAUGUUUUCGGAAGAUCGGGUGAAGAACGAGAUACUACUUGAGAGAGAAUGGUGAGUGUUCUUGAGAGUGGAAGUUGAGAAAUGAAAGAAAUGGGGAGUAAACUCAUGCCUAAGGCACGAGUUCACGGCCACAUAAGUGUUUACGACCCAAAAUCCAAAAGUUUGGCCGUGAACUCCUUAUUAGGGUUCUAAGUGUGAUUUUGCUACUCCAAGACCCGAGAAAGUACUUCCUUUCAUUCGUUCGUUUGUAGAAUAAAUACUAAAAACACCCAAAACGAACCUUAAAAUGGCUAACAAUUAUCAGAAAUGUAUUUGACUUUUAUUUGAAGUGCUUGACCAUAGAUUUUGUACGAAUGAAAAUUUCGGGUUGUCACAAACAACUAGCAUACAAUUUGAUACUUGAAUCAUAAAAAUAGAUUAGAUGAUUACCUCUUUGUUGUAGCUUGAUGUAUUUUGCCUUUAGGAGCUUAGCACCCCAAGUAUGAUGCCUCAAACGGUUCACAACACACCAUGAAAAAACGGAGGACUUGAGAGAGAGGUUACUAGGCACAAAAUCGACUAUAUGAACUCCAAGAACACUAGUGUCCGAUUUUAGGCUAUGGGAUAACAUAUAUAUAUAGUGUAGGAUUCCAAGAGUCAUGGAUAAACCCUAAUCUAUACACUUAGGUUAUGAUCCAUAUCUCAUGUGGGCUAACUCUUCAUGGAUACUUACAUAAACUUAUCCCAUCAUGGAUCAAUAGCCCAAACAAUAUAUAUACAUAUAUAUAUAUAUAUAUAUAUAUAUAUAUAUAUANNNNNNNNNNNNNNNNNNNNNNNNNNNNNNNNNNNNNNNNNNNNNNNNNNNNNNNNNNNNNNNNNNNNNNNNNNNNNNNNNNNNNNNNNNNNNNNNNNNNNNNNNNNNNNNNNNNNNNNNNNNNNNNNNNNNNNUAUAUAUAUAUAUAUCACUGAUUUACAUAAUCAGUCCUCGUUAAUUUAAUUAGUCUCUUUUGAUCACUAAAUUAAUUCCAAAUUAAUUCUUGAUCAUACUAAUUAAAUAAUAUGAUUUCUCUAUUAAUAUAUUAUACUUAUAAUAUAUUAGUAAAUCAUAAAUAACCUCUUACUCAAAUAUCCAUCCUAUCAAAUUGUCCUGGUGAUAUGCAACCCGAAAUGGACCAUGCUACUCUUGGGUCAAGUACAUACCAAUUAUAGUUAAGGGCUUAGACACCUAAUCCAACAGUUUCCUACUUGGAUAAGUCUAAUAACUAUUAUUACAAGUAUGACUUUAAAAUCCUGACUAGCAAUUGUAACUCUUAAAAGCUGAUGUCGAACUCUAACCUAGUCAGUGACGCGUCCAUUAGAUAAGGGAUCAUAUAUUCCUCCGUUCUAGAUAUCAUAUGGACAUGAGACAUGGAUUAUAAUCAUUAUCUUUGUCCAUGUGUUGUUUCCCGAUUUCCGAUUUAUGACGACUGGCUAAUUGAACAAAUCAAAUCAAUCCAGGCUUGGCCAAGCGCUUAGGGUUGUCAUCACUAAAUCAUCGAGGGGCCCACCGAUAUCGCUUUUAUCCCUCUAAGGAUAAAAGGAACGGAUAAACUUUGACUCACAUGCUUACUCUAUUUACUCAUCAAAUUACACACAAUGAUGUGUUUUAUAACACCAAGUUAUUGAUGCGUUUACAUAUCAUCAAUGUGCAACCGACUUGUAAACUGCAACUAUAUGUCUCCGUUUCAAGAAUAUAAGAUAUUAUCGUCUCACUAAUCACUUAUGAUAAAAUACAUGAAGUAAUUUAGAUGAGCGUGGGUUUAAUCCAAUACUCGAAUCUUAUUCUAGGAGUACUUAUGAACACUGCAGCAAACUUGUGUUAUGUUUAAAACACCUAGACAAUCUACAAUCAGAUUCAUGAUAGUCUUGCUUCAAUACCUACUUCCAAAGUAUGAUCGAAUGUGGAUAGUUUGAAUAAUCUUAUUAUUCUGGAAGUCAAAACAUGCAAAGUGAAACACAAAAAUAAACGAAUCCAAUAUGGUCUCAGAACUUAUGAAUAUAAAUAAAACACCUUUUAUUUAGUCACCUUAUUGAUUACACAUUAUUCAUUGUAUAAUGUUUCGAUUAAUCAACUUAAUACUUGAAUUAAUACAAUAUUUAUGCCAUGCUCCAAGCAUGCGCACUACGUUUUCCUACAGUCCCCUCUUUGUAAAAUAGAUCAAUGGACAACAUUUCAAUGAUGCGCAUUUCACAAUUCCAACUCCUUAUCGUAAAUGUAAGAAUACCAAAUUCAUCCCAUUUGCUAAAAUAUGUUAGAUUCUAAAUCUAUAUGCAAUGAUCCUCUUGUAAUUACUAUGCACAAAAGUCAUAGAUACUUGGCAACGGACAUUAAAAAGUAUUCCAAUGGAGAGAAAUUCCAUGGAAACAAAGUCUCAUAUUCAAAAUACAUUCCUAUGAACAUCCUUCUUGCAUUAAGUUUUCUAAUCUUACAUAGAUUUUAUUAUUAACUUCCACUUAUGGUAACAUUUGCAUAUUCCCAUUUUUACUGUCACUUCUGAACAAGAGUUACCUCUACUUAGGGUAUGUCAAUGUGGUCCUUCCAAAAUUUACACUUUACUUCUAACUGUCCAUGAGCAACCAAUAUUUGGUAAACCUUAGGUUGCCCUCGACAUUUGCUUAACCAUUUUAGUCAUAUCUCGUUCUAGUCCCUUUUCCCACUUAAUGCCCUAGGCAUAUGGAAAAUUAGAACAUAAUAAUAUUAUAGCUUAUGUAAUCGAUCCUAUAUUCGAAACAUAUAGAAUACGAUUCAUAAUGUCUCACAUAAAGACAUGAUACUUUACUAGUCUUCCGCUAUAAUAUUUCCACAUAUAUAGUUUCCUUAUGUUGAAUCAUUUCAACAUAACAUUCACAUAUAUCCAUGACUAAAUUCAAUUAAAAUCUCAAUCUAAGCUUUUAGAUUCGAAAUGAAGUAUGGAUUCCUCUCCCUUAAUUAUAGUAAAACAACUUUUCAACCUCUACAACUUUGCAAAUCGAAACUUUUGUUUUCUAUAAUUAACAUUGCUAACUUGUAUCCAUAAAUCAAUUGGACUUCUAAAAAUCAAUUGGACUUCUAGAAAUCAAUAUUUGUUGACUUUCUUACCAAAGUUCAAAUUUCUGAUACAAAAUGCUUCGAUAAGACUUUAUCUAGGCUUCUCAAACUCAUACACCUUUACUUAGAUAGCUCACAUGUGUGUCUAAACAAUUUUAGAACUUACAACAAUAAGUCUCAACUAUUUAGACCUUUUUCCAUUUCUCACAAUUCAAACUAUGAAGCGGUAUGUCGUAAUCAUAAUCCAAUUUGCGAAUGCAAAUAUCACAAUUGCUAUCUCCUUAAAAUCUACUAAGUGAAAGCGUUUCCUCACAAUCAUUUUCUUGAAUUGGAUAGAAACCUUAUGUGUAAUGCCCGUAGAUCCGGGCUAGUCAAUUUGGAGAUAAUAAGGGUCGAAAAUGACUUUUCAGCAAAAGAUUAUUUAGAAUAAAUAAUCUUAACCAAGUUGUAGGAUACGUUACAAGGUUUCCGUACAUAUAAAGAACGCCGAAAUCCGAGUUAUAACGAAGAAGUUAUGACUCGUCGAAGUUUCACGACGGAACCGACAUGACACUGGGAGACGUAAAUAGUGAAUUUUUGAUAAAUGAAUUUUUAGCCUUAGUGAUCUAAAUAAAAUUUGUAGUAUUCGUUAAACCGAGAAUGCACAAAAAAAGAACGCCCAAAUCUGACUUCGUGUGAGGAAGUUAAGAAUUUUCUAAGAUUUGGCUUAGCAGUGCACAACCCGAAACUCGAAUUUUAAAUGGAGCAAUUUGUGGCCUAUGCGACCUAAAUGAGAAUUUAAGAUCUCAUUAAUAGGAACUCAAAGGUGAAAAGACAGACGGAAACAGAGUCCGUAUGUAGAAGUUAUGAAUUUUACACGGACAUUUAACAGUAUAAUCUCCUCGUACUGUUAAAUUUAAGAUUGGUUGAGAAUUAGCCGACGGAGUCAAAAUGAAAGUUAUAGAUCUUAUUUUUGCCUACACAUGGAUAUAAAGAAAGUCAAAAACGGAGGUCGUAUGUGAAAGUUACGGAUUUUAGAGUCGGAAGUGUGUUGUGCGAAAAUGGGUGAUGUGGCACAAUCUUGGCCAUUGCUUUCUCCCCAAGUCUUGCCACUAGAUGGUGACAUGUGGCACCAAGUUCAGCCAUUUUCACCCUAUAAAUAGAACCUAUCUCACCCUCAUUUUCUUCACACCUUUCCUAUUCUUUCUUUUUUUUACUCUCUCUAGAACCUCUCUCUAGCCCCGAAACCCCCCGAAAAGCCUAGGGAACCUCCCUAGCACGAGGUGGAAGCCCCGGAGUGCUCGACGGCACCAAGAAGAAGAGAUUUUCAACACGGGAAUGCUGCUCCAAGCAAAGCCCAAUUUUCUAUAAAACCCGCUGUAAGUGAGUUAUGCCUACACUAUUUUUAAUAUAGCUUUUAUUUAAUUAUACUAACGUUAUUAAGAACUAAUAAUAAGUAAUUGGGCUAUUAUUAUGGGUUAUAUAAGUAUUGUUUAACGCUUAUAUAAUAUUAAUAAUAGCUAGACUAUUAAUUAGUCUCAGCGAAUAAUAGACUAAAGUCUAGUGGUAAUAAUACUAGGUUUCGUCGAAGGAAAAUAGAAUCGUUAAAAGCGAAGCGCUGCCCGAGUUUGGAAUCAUCACUUUAACAAGUGAGUGCAUAGUUACUUUCAUCUUACACAUAGAUAUGAAGUAUUUUAAUAUAAAUUACGUGUUAUAUGUGCAUAUUGUCUGAAUACUUGCUGUCUAUGCUGGUGAAAGAUUUUUAUACAUGUUUUAAAUGAUUUAAACUGUAUACAUAUUUUAUAUAUACGAAUAUGUUGGGUAUGACAUGGGUAGAUGAAUGAUGAGAGAUAAAAGAUGAUGUGAGUAAACAUUGGCAGCUAUACACUUAGUGCCUAAUAAACAUUGGCAGCUAUGGACUUAGUGCCUAUUGGACAAAUACUGGUAGAUAUGGACUUAGUACCUGAUAGGAAUUGGUAGCUAUGGACUUAGUACCUAUUAGAUAAACACUGGUAGCUAUGGAUUUAGUACCCGAUGAAUAAACAAACUAUAGCAGCUAUGGAAUUAGUGCUUUACGAACGAGUAUUGACAACUAUGGAUUUAGUGUCAGUCCCUAGAAGCAAGAGACUUCGGAAUAAACGAAUAGAUGACUCUUAGGAUAGAUCCUUAAGAGUGAAGAAGAUAAUGGGGAUGGGUAAUUGGGUUGAUUGUUUGAUUGUUUAAACAUAAUAAUUAUAUUAUUGUGGGUUGAAAACCCUAUGUACUCACCAGGUUUCCCAACCUGACCCACUCAGUUUAUUUAUAUCACAGGUGUUGAUAUGAAGUCAAAUUACACUGAGAGAUUAAAGAGAUGUAGAUCACUAGUGUAAAUAAAUGUAAGUUCCGUUUAUGCUUAUGUUUCUCUAUUGACGAUGACAUCCCAAUGUUUUAAAAUGAAUAAAAAUACUUUUCUUCGGAAAUGCUUUGAUAACGUAUUUAUCAUGUUUUACUGGGAACAAAUUCCGCAACAUUUUUAUUAAAAGAGGUACUCUGAUUUUUAUAAAGCAUAAACAUAAUUGGUCUUUUCUGGCCGUGAAAAUGGGGUUGUCACAUUAUGACACUUAGAUUUUAUGGUGUAUGUGUUCCUAUCCAUGUAAAUUUGUCAUAACCAUAAUCACAAGACAAGAUUACUGACAAAUCCAAACCCAUAUGGACUAAACUUGUUCAAUCUUAAUUUAUGGACACCUGGCAUCUCAAGGGCCUACCAUUGCUUCCAAGUUGUUAUGUAAACAAUUGAGUACUCAUAGAACUCGCAUGCAUUGUCAACUUCAAUUGGAAUGGGCACGGAAACAAGAACAUGUCAACACGAUAUGUUACAAACCUCAAGUCGUGCGCUAGUGAUUAACAAUAGGUUUACUCUUGAUUAGUUCUUGAAACUUUUCAAGAACUUUAAGACUCCCACUGAACUCUUGACAUAUAAGAUUCACUUUGUCAAGAAACCCUACUUGACAAAUAAAUAUUCAAGAGUUAGUGCGGUUUCUUAUCAAGACAAAUACUUCUGACAAUUGGUCUUAGUUGGUCUUUUUUUAUCCAAAACAUCACAACUUACCAAUUUCAAAUGUACAAGAGUAAGUAACAUUUUACUCUACAUUUGAUGAGUGUUAUAAACCUAUUUAAGAUAUGUCACUCAAGUUACAAUCUUGGAGUACAACUCUAAGUCUCGAUUUUGGAACGAAUUAUGAUUCACCUUUUGAUUUAACCAUUUCAACAAUUCACGAUUCCUCUUCUUAGCCAUACAAAUGCACUAAUAUGUCCUUAGAGGACCAAUUUCAAAUGUACAAGAGUAAGUAACAAUUCACGAUUCCUCUUUAAUGAUGUAACAUCCGCAUUUCAGGUACUAUAUUCUUAUGUUUAUUGAAUGAAAUUGUGUGAGUGUUUUGUCCUGCCACGGCGCAGAGUCUUGUUUUCCACGACAUGGUGGUUAAGUGAUACCACAGUGUGGUGUAUCAUUUGCCACGAUGUAACACCCUUAAUUCUAACCCUAAAACAUUUUAAUUUUUGCCAAUUUGGUAUGUGCGCCAUGCGUACUCGAGGUGUACACAUGACGUACUCAUGCAUGAGAAAAUCGUGACUCGUACGUGUACGUCGCGUGUACGCUAUUCAGAACAAAACCCUAGUUUUGAGGGUUUGCACCCUAUAUAAAUCCCUUUAUGGACCCAAGACCUUCACUCUCAUCAGCCUCCACCUAAAAAUUGUCCCUGUAGCGAACCCUAAAUGUGAAAAGUACACCUUGAGCUCACUUGUGUGUUUUGAUGGUGUCCUUGAAGAAGAAGAAAGUGGUAGAAGGACACUGGAUUUUGAAAGAAGUUUGGAUAUGGGAUUCUCACCUUUUUAGCAACCUCCAGGAGUUAAAAAGCUCCUAGCUUGAUCAUCUUUUCUUAUAGGUCUAGAUAUUCCUUCAUUUAGGCAUUGUUGGUCCCAACCUUUGUGAUUCUUGAGCAUGGCUUGCUAUUAACCAAAUAAUUCAUCCUUUUAGACCCAAUGAGGAGGCUUGAGUUAUAAAAAGGAGAUCUUGAUUUUUAGUUCUUCCCUAUGCAUGCUCUAGAAGGUCUUAAGGUGUUAAGAAGUUAAGAUUGUUGGUAUUAAACACCUAAUAGGCAUGCAAAGUCAUAAAGUUGGAAACUUUAUGACUCCUAGUGGUAUUUUGGCCUUGGAUCUACAACUAGAACCUAAUAUCUUAACGCAUUAAGCUCUUAAUAUGGAAUAAGGACUUCGGUGUGUAUGCUGUGCGUAAUUUUAUGUACGUCAUGCAUAAGGGGUCAACCACCCGAUCCUGAUCAAGGCUCGUGUACGCCCAACAUACAAGCUGAGUACACCCGGUAUACUCAGUAGAGUUGACCGAUUUGACUCAUAGACCUUGACCUUUGACCAUAUUUUUGACCAGGUUUGACCUAGCGAUAUUUUGGGUAUUUUGAGCUGUCAAUUAAGAUUAGGUCCUUGGGUUUGGUUAGGUGAUCGUUAAGCCAAAUUUCAAAGCAGAGAUUUAUUCAGAUUGUAUUCCAACUGAGAGGUGAGUUUUCCACAUUGUACUCGUGGGUCGAAGGCAUAAAUAUCGGCCCACUAGAUUAUUUAUCCUGGUUUGGAUUUGCUGACUUUGUGUUUAUGUUUAUCUGUUGCAUAUAUCUAUAUACUGUGUUAGGUUGAGGUGGUCAUGAUUUGUGUUGUAGGCCAAGACACCCGAGGACGACCGGAUAGGCUAUAGGCCCUACACGGCGGUCCAGUCAGGCCCGCGGCUCGUAGAGUGGUCAUGAUAGGUUGCAGGCCCUGUGUGGCGGUCCAUUCAAGUUGGUUGCUCAUAUUUGUGUUCUUGUUUGCUAUGUGGUGUGUUGGUUCUUUAGGGGAACUCACUAAGCUUUGGCUUAUAGUUUUUAGUUUAUCGUUUCUAGUACUUCUAAGGAUCAUGGGAAAGCAAAGGCGUGAUCAUGCAUAACUUCCUUUUUUAUGUCAUUAGGUCUUGGGAAAAGUCUAAUUUGAAAUAAUGUUUUUAAUACAAUGAUUCCUUUUGUAAAAAAUGUUGGUUAAUGGUUGAUUUUGAAAAUUUUAAUUUCAUUGAUUUUUAGAGUGUUACAAGUUGGUAUCAGAGCCUUGGUUUGAGAAUUGGAUGAACAUUCGUGUAAAUACAAACUUAAACUAGGGAACUACAAAAGUUUUUAAAUGGUUUUCAAAAUUAUUUUCAAAAUAACCAUGGAAGGAUGCGAUGUGUACGAUCAACCGGAGCAAGAAAGCAUAUCCCAAGUUACUCACACAGUUGUUUAUUAUGAUAUGGUGAAACAUCAUGCUAGUUGUAGGAUAUGAAUAUUCAAGAAUUGCAUGAUAGAAUUGUCUGAUGUAUGAUGCCUUAUUUCAUAUAGAUUUUUCUUGCUUAUUGGUGUAGGACUCUUUCGGUAUGUUAAGUCACAUGCUGCAUGGGUUAAAGAAUUUUAGAGUGAAGGAUUUGGUCCUACGACACAACUCUUGUCCGAGUCCAACCGUCGUAGGGUUGAAUCUUUUAAUCUAAGAUUAUUUAAGCUAUAUUGCAUGUGAUCGUAUUCAUGUAGUAGUUAACCAACACUAAUGGGGGUCGUUUGGCAGUUGAUCGUAGGGUGAGGUCUGGAUCUUAGGAUAGCCUAGGGAGUAUGUAGUACUCAUGAUGUGUUUUUCUUGAAAGUGUUGGAAGUUCCAUGGAUGGGUUAUGUGUAAGUAGUUGACCAUUUGAGAAAUUUCUAGCCUUUCUCUAGGGAGUGAGAAUAGGAUGCAUCGUAUUCUAGUGUGUGAUGUUAGGUUUGUUAUGAUGAUCAUUGGAGACAAAUACAGGUAGAUGUGGAAGCUAGUAUGGGCCCAUACUACCGUAAGCACAUGACCAAUACGCAUAACAGGGAAGUCACAACACCUAGGGUUUCGUUAUUUAGAAUAGCACAUAUGGUAUGAAAUGUGCCUUAUCUGAUUUUUUUGGUUUAUUUUUAGUAUGGUGUUCAUGAGGGGAUCCGAAUUAGGAGUUGGAGCGAGUGGCCAAGAUAGGCCAUGGUUGACUGAGGAUGAGAUUAGGGCGUUGAUUUCUUCUGAGGUUGUGACUGCUAUCCGGGGGUAGACACUGACGUUGUUUGGGUCUAUCAAGACCGCCAUGAUUGAUUACUUUGAUGACCGUUAUGUUGCACUUUCUAAGGCUGUUGCUGCUGCAGCUACCAUGGCCGUUGCGGCCGCUAGGGUUCGUGGAGAGCGAGCCUUCCAGUACCGGGACUUCGACAAUACGAAGCCCAUAGUGUUCAAUGGGGUUUAGGAUCCAAUCAUUGCCAUGAGGUGGUUGUCCAAUGUUGAAGGAUGUUUCUUUACUUGCUCCUGCCCAGCUGACCAGAAGGUCAAGUGCGCCCUAAACCUUCUUCGGUUGGGGGCGAAGGAUUGUUGGAGAUUGUUUACUAGACCCUACACUCCGAAGCAGAGGGCUAUUGUAUCAUGGGAGCAGUUCUCUGAGAUGUUCCGAACGAGAUAUGUUCCAUUGGUUGAGAGGGAGAGAUUGGCCCAGGAGUAUUUCGACUUGAGGUAGGGGACUUGUUGGAUUAAUGUCUAAGUCCAUAACUAUAAUUGGUAAGACUUGACCCGACCCGACAUGGUCCAUUUGGGUUGCAUGGCAUCAUGCAUUUGGAUAGACUAUAAUGAGAGAAAUAACACUUAAGGUUUGUUAAUAUAUUAUAAGUUCUAAUAUAUUAAUAAGCUUAUUUAAUUAGUAUUGAUCAAGAAUUAGCCUAGGAUUAAUUAAGUGAUCAAGAGAAGACUAAUUAAAUAUGUGGGUUGAUUGUGUAAAUCAUCCAUACUUGUAUAGUGGGCUAAUGCUUCAUGGAUUGUCAAGUUGGGCUAAAACCCAUAAGAUGCUCCAUGGUAUAUUUGAACCCAUGGAUCCAAGGAAAUGGAAAGCCAUGACAAUUAGGGUUUACCCUAAUUGUCACUAACUAUAUAAGCAUCUUAUUGUUGACAAAAUCGGCCACUAUGUGUGAGAAUGAAGUGUUAGCCGAUUUCAUGAAGUGUGGAUUUCUCUCUAAUCUAUUCCAAGUGUAUUUGGUGUUGUGUGAACCAUUUGAGGUGUCACACUUGGGGUACUAGGCACUCAAGCUUCAUGAAGACAUUCUACAUCAAAGAGGUAUGUAAUUCUAACUUGAUAUAUUCAUAUGAAUCAAUGUUAUUAUGCUAGUUAGGAUGAAUACCUUGGCUAGAAUAGACUAGGAACAUUACCUUAAGCUGUUUUUGGACUUAUAAACUUUUUUUUGAUGUGGUAAUGUUCAUGUGAAUCCAAUUUCAAAGAUAAUUGUCAAUAGAUUCAUGUUUUGUAUUAGUUUAAGUGUUAUGCUAAUUACAUGAAAAGUUUUGAUUCUAAUUAUCUUGUUCAUAUGAGUUGCUUAGAUUAAUGGAUAAGUUAAUUGAUUAUGUGUUUUCAAUCCAUUUUAAUCUAAGAGAUGAUUCUAAAAUGUGUUUGUGUAACUUGUCCUCAAGUUACAUGAAAGGUCACAUUUAAGUUUCUUAAAACUCAUAAAAGAUGGCAAAGGUUACAAAAAUGAACACUACUAGAAAACAGACCUUUAAUGACGCGCUUUUUACGACACGCACUAAUUAAUGAUACGCAAAAGGACGUGCCCUUAAAAUAGUGUCAUCUCUCCAAAAAAUUUAAGGAUUCACGUCACGCAUUAUUGCGUGCCCUUAAUUUAGUGUAUCAAGAAAAAAAAUUAAAAACACGGAGGGCACUUUAUCUUAAACGCGCGUCGUCUGUACCUGUCGCUUUAUAAUUUUAAUAAAACGCGCUUUUAGUAGAAAAGGGGGGAAACGAAAUCCCUAAAAUUUUGAAACCCCGCCUCAUUUUUUCUAUCUUCUAUUUCUCUCUCUCUCUCUCUCUCUCUCUCUCUCUCUCUCUCUCUCUUCUCUUUCAAGCCCUAAGCCCUAAACAGCCUCCACCAACAUCUGAACGAGCCCUCGCCAGUUACCUCUACUCCACCAUCAAGCUCUUGCUCCGCCUAUGGAGGUGUUGGCGCUGCUGGUGGUUGUCCUUCAGCUUCAGCCACACCUCUUCACGAUUAUAGUCCGUAGUAGCUCGUCUUCCCCUCUCUCUCUCUAGCUCUCUCUCUCUCUCUCCCCCUUCUCUUUCAAGCCCUAAGCCCUAAACAGCCUCCACCAGCAUCUGAACAAGCCCUCGCCAGUUAUCUCUACUCCACCAUCAAGCUCUUGCUCCGCCUAUGGAGGUGCUGGCGCUGCUGGUGGUUGUCCUUCAGCUUUAGCCACGCCUCUUCACGAUUAUAGUCCGUAGAUAAUGAUUUAUGUUUGUGAAGCAACAACGGUUUUGACAACCGCGAUGGCGGAGAAGUUGUAUUCGUGUCUGACAAGACUGGUGGCAGCGGUAGCUAUCCUCCAACCCAUCUCUCCUCUCCGCCACCGUCGCUGACCUACGCGCCGCCUGUAAGAGUUCAAGAGGUUUCGAUGAUUUGCUUCCUGGCUUUGGAAGCGGCGGUUCUCCAUCUAGUAGCAGGUACCUGUGCUGUUGGAUUGGGAAGGAUAGCAUCCAGGUAAACUAAAACCAUAUUAUUUCUUUUCUUUUCUUUUUUUUAAGAAAAAAAAUAUUUAAUUGUGUAUUUGAGAUGAAGACUUGUUUUGUUGUCUGAUCACAGGAGGACCAAAAAACAGUUGUUCAACAAACUAUUUCAAUGUUCAACUCUAUGAAAUGCAAACCUGUUCAGGUACCAUAAAUAUAAUACUCCCUCCGUCCCAAUAUUAUAGUUCAUCUUUCCUUUUUGGUUUGUCCCAAAAUAAUAGUCCACUUCUAAAAAUAAAUAACAUUUUUACCAAAAUACCCCCUCAUUAUUACUUAACCAACUAAACAUUUAAUUGAACAUUAAAUGCAAAGUAAGGACACAACUGUCAUUUUAUUAUAUAAAGUUAGUGGUAAUUAAUGUUUUUCUUAAUCUGUGUGUUUUUUGUCUGUGGACAAUAAUAUUGGGACGGAGGGAGUAGCUUUUUUUACUUGUUGCACUGUUGAUUAUAUAUAAAUUUAGUUUUGAAAUAUUAGUAUCUUAUCGUAGGGUCGAAUGCAUCAAGGAAAAGAAGCACCACAAUUUGUUGCUAUCUUUCAGCCUAUGGUUGUUCUCAAGGUACUCUCUUCCACUUGUAGUAGUUGUAAAAGAUAUAGCUCUAGAAGAAGGCUGUUAACUAUGGUAAAUAUUUGGUUUUACUUUUACUAGGGUGGAUUGAGCUCUGGUUAUAAAAACUACAUUGCAGAGAAAGGACUGCAUGAUGAGACCUACAGUCCAGAUACUGCUGCACUGAUUGAAAUAUCAGGAACUUCAGUUCAUAAUAAUAAAGCUCAACAAGUAGAGAGGGUAUGGAAACCAGAGUACACCUGAACAGCAGCAAUUAACAGCAAAAGUUGUUGAACUUUUGAAGGUAUGCUUUUUAAAUUAUUGGUCUUACAUCUUUAUUUACUUUUAUACCCCUUUCCAAUCCUUGAUAAUUUAUUCAACUCUUUUUUCUUAUAUCUUUAGUCUGGAGUACCUGUAAAAUUCUCUAGAGAAGGAAAAGAGAGCUUAGCUUUCUGGCUUGCACUUGGUGGAAAACAAAGCUACUCAAGUAGCAAAGUAACACAGGAAAUCAUCCGUGAACCUCACUUGUUUGAAGUAAUAAGCAAUAAAGGUUUCAAAACCAUAAACCAUCAUCUAUCUUUCACAUGUCCAUUUUUGCUGAUUAUAUCCACCAACUGUUUUUAUCAUCUUAUUUUCCUCUAUAGGAAAGUUAGAGAUUGAAGAAGUUCACAGCUUUGAACAAGAUGACUUGUUUCCAGAGGAUGUCUUGAUAUUAGAUACACAUGCUGAGGUCAUCGUUUGGGUUGGUCAUUUAGCACAGUCAACGGAAAAACAAAACGCUUUUGAAACUGGCAAGGUACAUAUAAUAAUAAUAAUAAUUAUACAAAUUCAAAAUUAUACGUUGUAUUGGUUGGUAUGUUUUUUUAAUAAGUUGAUUUCAGAAAUAUGUAGAGCUGGCUGCAUCUAUGGAUUCCUUGUCCCCAUCUGUCAUAUUAUACAGAGUAACAGAGGGAAACGAACCUUGCUUCUUCACAACAUAUUUCUCAUGGGAUCCUGCAAAAACUACUGUAUGUAUACAUAUGUAUUAAUAAUUAAUAAUUAAUUUGUAUCUCAUUUUUCUCUUUCUCAAUGGAACCAGGCUCACGGAAAUGCAUUCCACAAGAAGGCUGUGCAACUCUUCGGCUCAGGCUGUGUAGCAGAGGUAUUUCUUAUAUAAAAAGUUUUUUUUUGGAUUAAUUUUUUUUAAGUGGCCCCUAUCAUAUUAUUUUAUUACAACAGAGCCAAGAUGUUAAGCCCAUGGGAAAUAAACUUAGUGGGGCCACCCAAAGAGCAUCAGCCAUGGCAGCUUUAACCUCUGCUUUUUCAAAAUCAACUACUGCUCCUAAAACUCCUCAACAUGGACCACCUCCAAGAAUGCUAGCUCGUGGGUCCCAGAGAGCGGCGGCAAUAGCCGCCUUAUACUUUAUAUACUCUUGAACCAUGUAAUUUACUUUUUACCCUCAGUAGCAACAUAGUUGCUGUUUCUUUAAACUUGAUUUUGAAUGUGUGUUUUUGUCAUCAGUGAUCCUCACUGGUUCUCCAGAUUGUUCUAUUCUUGCAAUUGAUAUUGAAACAGGAUCUCCAGUUAGUUAUGGAUGGAUGUUCAUACAAUUAGGUAUUAUUUUCAAUAUUCAUACAGUUAGUUAUGGAUGGAUGUUCCAGGUAUUAUUUUCAAUAUUCAUACAAUUAGGGAUGUUCAUACUUGAGGUAUUGUAUCACUUUUAAUGAAGUUUGAAAUGCAUAUAGUAAAAGAUUAGGUCGAUUUACCUUUUUUUUUUGUUUUUUUAGGAAAUCAAGGAAAAUGGCACCACCAUAUAGAGUGAUGCUACACAAUGACAACUACAACAAGAGGGAAUAUGUUGUGCAAGUGUUGAUGAAGGUUAUACCUGGAAUGACAGUUGACAAUGCAGUUAAUAUCAUGCUCUUGACCUGGACACCACUCUAAAUUGUAACUUACUCUAAAUUUUAUAUGUAAAUUUUAUUUUAUCUUUUGAAGGGAAAUUUACUGAAUAUUGAUUGGUUGAUGCAGUUAACUAGAAUUGGUCGAGAUGCAGUUUUAUAUGUUGAGUCGCUCAUUGAGUCAAUCAUGGGAGGAUUGGAAGGGCUAAUCAACAUUCUUGAUUCUGAAGGAGGUUUCGGCUCUUUGGAGACACAUGUUCUUACUAUUUUAUCAAUUUCCUUAAAAAGUUACCAAAUUCAUGUAUUAAAUUUGAUAAAGCUAACUUAAUUGCUUUUUUUAAAUCCUAGCUUCUACCAGAAGUCAGCUGAAACUACAAAUGGCUUUUGAUGGGCAGGAAAGAUAUAUGAAGGUAUGAUCUAUAUUGUAAUUCAGAUUCUAUAACUUUUAUUAUGUAAUCUCUUAAGUCUUAAUACCCAUUAUUCCUUAUGCAUGUAGAGAUCUUGGGAGCCAAGUGAUAAAGCUGAUCUUCACUUUGUCUACAAAGAUGUUGAAGGAGUAUCAACUCAAUGGGAUGAUAUUCAAAGAAAACUCAGGAACUUACCUCCCAAACCCUCUGCCUUCAAACCCGAUCCCUUCACUCCUGCAGAAGACGAAGAUUCCAAACCUAAAACCAAAUCUCGGAUCGAUAACAAGACAGAAGAACUCAAAGAUUUAGAAGAUGAUCUUGAUGAUAGUUGUUUCCUCGAAGAAUACAAGUACCUUCAACUCCCUUAAUCCUAAUAUCAUUUUAUGAGGGUAUUAAAUUUCAUGUGAUAUUUUCAUGGUUUCAUUUUCUUUUGUGUUCUUGAAGCAGAAAGAGGUUAGCAGAGAUGAAGCAAACAAUGGAAGUUUGAACUCGGAAAGUUCGGGCAGCUAUGGUGGCCCGGGCAGCAUGUAUUUCAAUAUUGAUUGUGUGAAAGUCAUCUACUAAAGCAAGGUUGGUGUAAGAGUUAAUGAUGAGAACAUUGUUCCAAGACCUUCAGUGAGUUAUGAUGAUG
rnacentral:lncRNA from 1 species